CGUGCCUAACACAUGCAAGUCGAACGAGGUCCAUGAGAGCUUGCUCUCGGACGACCUAGUGGCGAACGGGUGAGUAACACGUGAGAAACCUGCCUCGGAGUGGGGAAUAACUCAGGGAAACUUGAGCUAAUACCGAAUGUGCCCUUCGGGGGAAAGAUUUAUCGCCUUUAGAGCGGCCCGCGUCUGAUUAGCUUGUUGGUGAGGUAAUGGCUCACCAAGGCGGCGAUCAGUAGCUGGUCUGAGAGGAUGACCAGCCACAUUGGGACUGAGACACGGCCCAAACUCCUACGGGAGGCAGCAGUGGGGAAUCUUGCGCAAUGGGCGAAAGCCUGACGCAGCCAUGCCGCGUGGAUGAUGAAGGUCUUAGGAUUGUAAAAUCCUUUCACCGGUGAAGAUAAUGACUGUAGCCGGAGAAGAAGCCCCGGCUAACUUCGUGCCAGCCGCCGCGGUAAGAC
rnacentral:rRNA from 1 species